CCACCAUGCCUGAUUAAACUUUGAAUUAUGUGUAGAGACAGAGUCUCCCUAUGUUACCCAGACUGGUCUUGAACUCCUGGGCUCAAGCAGUCCUCCUGCCUCGGCCUCCCGAAGUAGUGAAGAAAUGCAGAUGAUAUCUGAUUUAGCCAGCAUAUUGAUGGCAUAGGGAAAAAACCAUGCACAGAGUCUUCUCUGAUGUGAAGCGUGUGCUUGCAGGAAGCACCCAGCACGGGACAAAGAUAAAAGCCAGAAGAUUCAGCAAGUCAGGUUCUUCUGCCUGCUUUUAUCCUAGCCAUGCUGGCAGCUGAUUAGAUGGUGCCCACCCAGAUCUUUUUAAAAUCACUUUAUCACUUGUCUUUUUAAUAUCAUUUUAUCAUGCCUCUUUUGCUCAUUAAAAUUUUUUAAAAAUAAAAACCGUUAUGUAACCUGAGAAUAGACAGGAGUCAUUAUUCAAAUUUGAGACAAUGGAUAUUAAGAAAUUGAAUGUAAUGGACAAAUGAAACAGUCGAGUCCCCAAACAUUGUACAUUUCACAACCUUCAUCUUCCUGGCCAUUGCUCACUGGAAUUUUCCUUCCCCUUACAGAUAACUUCAGGAAUCUGCCAUUUUCUAACAACUAUACA
rnacentral:lncRNA from 1 species